UACGUAGGUGGCAAGCGUUGUCCGGAUUUACUGGGCGUAAAGAGCGCGCAGGCGGUCGGAUCAGUCGAAUGUGAAAGCCCCCGGCUCAACUGGGGAGGGUCAUUCGAUACUGUCCGACUCGAAGGCAGGAGAGGGAAGCGGAAUUCCCAGUGUAGUGGUGAAAUGCGUAGAUAUCGGGAGGAACACCAGUGGCGAAGGCGGCUACCUGGACAAUUGCUGACGCUCAGGCACGAAAGCGUGGGGAGCAAAAGGG
rnacentral:rRNA from 1 species